AGAGUUUGAUCCUGGCUCAGAGUGAACGCUGGCGGUAGGCCUAACACAUGCAAGUCGAACGGCAGCACAGUAAGAGCUUGCUCUUACGGGUGGCGAGUGGCGGACGGGCGAGGAAUACAUCGGAAUCUACUUUUUCGUGGGGGAUAACGUAGGGAAACUUACGCUAAUACCGCAUACGACCUACGGGUGAAAGCAGGGGAUCUUCGGACCUUGCGCGAUUGAAUGAGCCGAUGUCGGAUUAGCUAGUUGGCGGGGUAAAGGCCCACCAAGGCGACGAUCCGUAGCUGGUCUGAGAGGAUGAUCAGCCACACUGGAACUGAGACACGGUCCAGACUCCUACGGGACGCAGCAG
rnacentral:rRNA from 1 species